rnacentral:rRNA from 1 species
UACGUAGGGUGCGAGCGUUAAUCGGAAUUACUGGGCGUAAAGCGUGCGCAGGCGGUUCGUUAAGUCAGAUGUGAAAGCCCCGGGCUCAACCUGGGAACUGCAUUUGAAACUGGCGGGCUUGAGUGCGGCAGAGGGGGGUGGAAUUCCGCGUGUAGCAGUGAAAUGCGUAGAGAUGCGGAGGAACACCGAUGGCGAAGGCAGCCCCCUGGGCCGACACUGACGCUGAGACGCGAAAGCGUGGGGAGCGAACAGG